UACGUAGGGGGCAAGCGUUGUCCGGAAUCAUUGGGCGUAAAGAGCGUGUAGGCGGCUCGAUAAGUCUGCUGUGAAAGUCCAGGGCUCAACCCUGGAAGGCCGGUGGAAACUGUCGGGCUAGAGUCCGGAAGAGGCGAGUGGAAUUCCCGGUGUAGCGGUGAAAUGCGCAGAUAUCAGGAGGAACACCGGUGGCGAAGGCGGUUCUCUGGGCCUGUACUGACGCUGAGGAGCGAAAGCGUGGGGAGCGAACAGG
rnacentral:rRNA from 1 species